AGAAAGGUAAGCUGAAGUCAUCUCUCCACAGACACAGCUGCCCUGACUUUCAGCUUCAAGAAGGUAAUGUAGAUGAAUCAUAGAAUUGUAGAAUCAAAGAAUGGCCUGGGUUGAAAAGGACCACAACGAUCAUCGAGUUUCAACCCCCCCGCUAUGCACAGGGUUGCCAGCCACCAGACCAGGCUGUCCAGAGCCACAUCCAGCCUAGAAUGAAUCUCUCUUUUGGUAAGACCAACUUUUCUACAGAAUCUGUCUCACAUCUGCAAAGCCUUACUCUCCUAAACUAUCCAUAGUUGUGUCCUUAACACUUGAGAUUUUUACAGGAAAGGCAUGAUUUACUGUUUCUUAUCAUUCUGACAACAUACAUACAACUGUUUCUCGAAUAAGUCUGACAAGAGUCCACUUUCAGAUUUGGAUACAACUCCAGGGAGUCAAACCAAGCAUUGCAAUGCAGCGUUGGUAUUAAACUUUUUAUCAACUUCACAGAACUUUUGAAGAAAAUACUGUAAUACAUUAACAUCUGACAUAGAGCCCAGCUAUUAGAAGAUCAAAUGCACUGUGUCACCAACAGCUGCUUUGCUGGGAAUUACAUGCAGCGUAUGUGUAAUAGCAUCAGCCCUUGAUUACAAACUAUUCCGGUUUCUAACUAAAGAAGGGGCACAGAUUCUACGGUUAAGAAUGGCAUCCUGGAAAAUCAAACUACUAAAAAGAACCCACAACAAGAGAGUACAAAGAACUCACAUUAUGUCAAGAAGAUCCAAACCUCAGAAUGGUUUCUGAAAUGGAAGUCUGUGUUGAAGGAAUCUCCACAGAUAAAUUUGAAUUGCCUGUCUCAGUCCUGAACAGAUUUUGAAAAUGGGACUUUCCUGGCUGAGCUCAGAGUAAAACAGAUGUCAGAAAAUGAAAAAGAAAAAAAGAAACUCCCAGUGAUUGAAUGGACAGAAUUAACACCCUCUGAGAGAGGCAGCAGCAUCUGUUUGUCCCUGCCACCGAGGAGCUGUGACAACCUUUGUCCAGGGGUUGGAUUCCUGGAGCAGGGUCAGGAGAUGGCCUGGGUGCUCCUCACAUGCUUCACCACAAGGACCAAGACAGCUCCCAGGCUACUUCCCAAGCCUCAGCAACUGUUUUCAUUUAGGGUAUGGACAGAACUGCUGCUGGUUUGGAAAUGAAAACCAGCACAGAACAAGGUUUUAUUCAGAGCAAGCAGCUCUACUUCAAUCCCCAAAGAGCGGGCUUUGAUUUGAGACAAUUAAAGCCCUUACUCCCCAUAAAGUAAGGUUUCGUGACCGUAAGUAAAGUCUUCCAAUGGCCAACUGUUGGUUCAUUUCCAGAAACUUUGCUAUUUAGUCAUCCUAACUGAAGACUGAAGACAGUGUCCAACGAGAUGCAAGUGCUGUAAAACAUGGAUGAGACAGAAUCCUUCCCUCCACAGAAGUCAGAACAGGGAUCUCUUACUUCUUAACAGUAAAAUGCACCACCAUCUGCAGCAACAUCAUUGGUUAUUUAAGACUACUUCCAGAACUGAAAGACUUUUUGUUAAAUAACUUCUAGAUUUUAAAAAAAGAGAGAAUUUUAAUGUCACAAAUGCUUGGGCUGUGCUUCAGGUUCUGGGAGGAAAUUUAGAUGUUACCAUUAUGAAGUACACCAAACUUCACAAAAGCUCAAAGCUCAAGCAAGACAAGCCAGCAGCCUCACCAAUGGAAUUUACUGAACUAUUUAGUUUUUCAGCCAGCACCUUUAUUAAAGCAAACAAUGCAGACAACAAAAACCCCACUAAAUGUCUGGCCAAAAACUGUAAUUUGAUCCUUUUAAAUCACAGUUUUAGGCCACGUAUGUACUACUCAGAAGGGAAUUACACAGGCAGUAUCAACGGCCUCUUACCCAUGGUGAUGGAUGUGGUCUUGGCUCACAGGCUUUAUAACAUACUGAAUUUCAGUCCUUGGAGGGUCUUGUAUUCUGCUAGCUGCUCUAAAAUAAUGUAGAAGAGACCAAAUAAGGUAAUUAAACAAGACUAAAAGCAUAUCCUGAGAGGCUUGCCUUAUUUUUUUUAAAAAACUGUUUUCUGUACUUCCGUGCAUACAAUAGCAGAUUGGAGCCCAGUUGCUGUGCUGUGAAGAGGGACAUGACUGAGGAAGUUUCCCAGACGCAGCCAUUUAGAUGGGAACAAAGUUCAGAGCGAAAGUUGUUAUCCCAGCAUGUCUUGGGUACCCUCAUCUUACUGACUGAACAAAAUAUCAG
ensembl:lncRNA